UGUGAAGCACCUUUUAGAAGGCUAAGCCUCU
rnacentral:piRNA from 1 species